AUACUUACCUGGACGGGGUCGAUGGCCAAUCAUUAAAGGCCAUGGCCUAGGUUAGUGACCUCCAUUGCACCUAGGAGGGGCACUCGUCUAAGAUCUGCCUAAGUGGCAGAGUCUGCGUCAUAAUUUGUGGUAGAGGGGUCUUGCGUUCGCGCGAUCCCUGC